ensembl:lncRNA
CACUCCUUGGCUUCAAGCUUUGCCUUGGGGAAACUCCAAAGUCCUCCUGCCACAAGUACCCUGCCCUGCAGCACAUUGCACAUACCUACUUCUGCCCAGGGCUGGCUCUCUUCUUGCCCUGAGGGGAUGCCUGAGGAUGAAUUCUCUGCUGUGGCCUCUGGAAUUGCUUUCUGCAGGAACUGGGACCCCAACUGCUCACUGGGACAGCUGGUUGAGGCUUCAGUCACCACUGUAACACAGAGCACAGAAACUGUCUGCUUUAGGCGACAACACCGGAUCUACUUAGUGUCCUUCUCACAGCCAAGAAGGAGGAGAGUUCAUGGAGAGGAAUUCAGGGCGGAAAACAAAGUGAACCAUUGGAAACUGCUUUCAGACUGCAGAUUCCAACCAGAUUUGUGUCAUGACUUCAGCCAGGGCAUUCUUCACCCACGUGGGACAAUGUCAGGAGCCUCAGUGACAUCGAGACCCUUCAGAGCAGCACUAAUGCCCAGUGGAGUUCUCCAGCCUAAAUGUCUCGUUGUCAGUGGAAGAAACAAAGAUUGGAGCCUGCAGCCCAGGAUGGGACGUGAGGACCCUUCUUCUCCUUAUCCCUGCUCCUGCUCAGCCAGUCCCAGGUUUGGAUGUGGUGGAAAGGCCUUGAAUGUCACCACAACACAGGGAGCAGCUUUGCUGGAGGACAAGGUGAUGCUACCACACGACAUCAGUGAGAAGUCACAACCAAGCAGAGUGAUGUAUAUGUAUGUCUUCAUCUGAAUUCCUCUCCCCCUCUCCUUGUGCUGGUAAAUAAGUUACACGUAUUUUCAGAGGAACUUAUUUCCUGUCACUGCACUCUUAAAUGUCAAGCUCCUGGAGAGGAGUCUUCAAGCAACUUUAAGGUCAGUCAGGCUUCAAGGAAGAAAAAUGCAGGUAGGGAAGAGCAAGAGCAGUCCAGCCUAAACCCUGGCUGUGAUCCAGCCUAAGCCCUGGCUGUGGUCUAAAUGAUGGGUGAGCAGGAGCAUCCCAUAUGGAAGUGGCACCUGGGGGCACUGCUCUGCCUCUACCUCAGUUAUGGAAAAACUAAAGACUUUGACAAAAAAAAAAAGGUGGAUGAAAAUUCCGUGUUGCGUUAGCUGAGGAGCACUGAUGAAUAAUGCAUCCACCCAAAGGUCAGUUUACAAAUGAUUAAUUAACCUUAAGAGAGGUUCUCCUCAUUGGCGACAUCCGCUGUCCUAAACAGCUUCAUCAUGUCUGCAGGGGGUAUUUAAAGCACAGUUAUUUGGGAAAAGUAUUGAGGAAUCAUGGAGAAAGCACCGUGAGAGACCACAAUGGGUCCCAAGGCUUUGCUGGGCCUCUGUGGUGUGAGACAGGCUCGGGCAUCGCUCGACCUGGGAGCAGAAGGGUUUGAAUGUUGUGCUCACAGCUGACAGAUCUGAGGGCUGGGAAUCACCAACAGGGAGUUCAACAAGGGGAAGUGCUGGAUUCUGCCCUGGGAUGGAUGGACAGACUGGGAAUGAGAGGCUGGAAAGCAGUGCCGGGAAAGGGCCCUGGGGGUCCUGGGGGUCCUGGUGGUGCCAGUUGUCCCUGAGUCAGCAGUGCCCUGGCAGCCAGGAGGGACAUCCCUGUCCUGGGGCACCAGGGAGGGGAUUGUCCCGCUCUGCUCUGCCCUGGGGCGGCCUCACCUCAAUAUUGGGGCAGUUUGGGGGGACACA